CACCGGGCGCGGGCGGGGUGGUCUGCGCGAAGAAGGGAAAUGACCUUCAAGGUCAGAAGCAAACCUUGGUUUCGACCCUCAGCUGGAACCUGCAUCGGAGUCGCUGUCGCUAGUGCCUUACAAGUGUUAUAAAAAUCCUAUAAAAUCCACACAUAUUGGACAAAUCCUGACUGAGGGACAGUUUACAACCCCAUGAGGGCUAAUUAUCACUUGGGCUGCUUUUGGCUGCAAAUAACAGAAGACUUAAAAUGGCUUAAACAAUAAGGUUUUUUAUUGUUCCACAUAACAAGAAGCCUCCAAGUAUUACCAUGUCAUCAAGUAUCCAGGCUUUUGGUUGCUACAGCUGUAGGCAUCAUGUCUGCACGAAACCAUGUUCAAAUGGGGGAAGUUUUCCUGUGGACGCCUUGAUGGUAAGCCUAGACCUCUCUGGGUGUGAGGGGAAGAGUUUCCUGAAGAGUGACCUUAUUCUUCCAUCAGCCACCCAGAAGAGAGGUGAGUCCAUCCUUAGGUAGGAGUUUUAUUAUUUUUUGGGGGGUUUUAUUAUUUUAUUUUUUUAAGGUUUUUGG